rnacentral:rRNA from 1 species
GAUGAACGCUGGCGGCGUGCCUAAUACAUGCAAGUCGAGCGAACAGAUGAGGAGCUUGCUCCUCUGACGUUAGCGGCGGACGGGUGAGUAACACGUGGAUAACCUACCUAUAAGACUGGGAUAACUUCGGGAAACCGGAGCUAAUACCGGAUAAUAUAUUGAACCGCAUGGUUCAAUAGUGAAAGACGGUUUUGCUGUCACUUAUAGAUGGAUCCGCGCCGCAUUAGCUAGUUGGUAAGGUAACGGCUUACCAAGGCAACGAUGCGUAGCCGACCUGAGAGGGUGAUCGGCCACACUGGAACUGAGACACGGUCCAGACUCCUACGGGAGGCAGCAGUAGGGAAUCUUCCGCAAAGGGCGAAAGCCUGACGGAGCAACGCCGCGUGAGUGAUGAAGGUCUUCGGAUCGUAAAACUCUGUUAUUAGGGAAGAACAAAUGUGUAAGUAACUAUGCACGUCUUGACGGUACCUAAUCAGAAAGCCACGGCUAACCACGUG